rnacentral:tRNA from 1 species
GCGUCCGUAGCUCAAUUGGAUAGAGUGAUGGGCUUCGAACCCAUAGGUUGGGGGUUCAACUCCCUCCGGACGCG